rnacentral:rRNA from 1 species
CACGUAGGGUGCGAGCGUUUGUCCGGAAUUAUUGGGCGUAAAGAGCUCGUAGGCGGUGUGUCGCGUCGGCCGUGAAAACCUGCAGCUUAACUGUGGGCUUGCGGUCGAUACGGGCAUCACUGGAGUUCGGCAGGGGAGACUGGAAUUCCUGGUGUAGCGGUGAAAUGCGCAGAUAUCAGGAGGAACACCGGUGGCGAAGGCGGGUCUCUGGGCCG